rnacentral:rRNA from 1 species
UACAGGGGGGGCAAGCGUUGUUCGGAAUUACUGGGCGUAAAGGGCUCGUAGGUGGCCAACUAAGUCAGACGUGAAAUCCCUCAGCUUAACUGGGGAACUGCGUCUGAUACUGGAUGGCUUGAGUUUGGGAGAGGGAUGCGGAAUUCCUGGUGUAGCGGUGAAAUGCGCAGAUAUCAGGAGGAACACCGGUGGCGAAGGCGGUUCUCUGGGCAUGUCCUGACGCUGAGGAGCGAAAGUGUGGGGAGCGAACAGG